ensembl:lncRNA
UUGAUUUAUAUUUUAUUAUAUUCCCCUGGAAUUAAAUUCCAAUCAAUCAAUCACUCAAUCAAUAACUAGUCAACACGCUACAAGGAUGUUACAGCUGCUGAGGAAGUGACUGUAAAUUUGACAUCCUAAUUAUCCGUGACAAUCCAUCUCUGUAUGUUUUUCCUAUUUUGGAAAGUCUUGGAAAUCCAAUAGUGGAUUUGCCUUGUGAAGCUGAAGUUAAUGGGAAUGGAAAAAUAAUAUUUGCUGUGCUACACUUCUGUGUUUCACACCUGGAAAUGUGAAAAGAGUCCAUUAUCUUGUUUCAAAUGGUUUUGUCUCUUAUUUAAAUUUUACACAUUUCCCCAUGUUUCAAAGAAAGUAAAAAAUAAAAAAAUUGCACUGAAAUCCCUAAGACAGCCAGACAAAAUCCACUUAAAAGAAAAUAGCUUUCAAUUCAAUAUGUUUUAUUGUUGGCUAUAGACAGGAUCUAAAGCUUAAAGGUCACUUAGAAGUCUGCAAAUAAGAGCAAGUCAAUUGCAAUUCCUCGAUUUAAGCCUAAGGGGGCUAAGCAAUUUCAAUUGGAACGUGACACUAAAAGCACUUCUUAUCUAAGGAAGAUUAACCUCAAACUAAGGUCUUACCUUUUUAAUUCUGCAUAUCCAUGUGCCCCUGUGUGUGCAUGGGUGCAAACGUACAGCACGCAUGGACGUGUGCUUUCAUACCAGCAGUUAAGGCCCAUAAUUUCACAUGCAGAUUUGAGUGCACUUCCUGUACCUCCCAGCUAGCCUUAAUUCACUUCUCAUCAGAAUGUUACAAGAAAAAUCUUUACAAUGAAGAGCUGGUAUAAAAUACCUCGGCCAGUUGUCACAGAUCACUCGUGGAAAACAUAUUAGAUCCAAGUGCAUUAUUAAUCCACAAAAAACAAAGAUCUAAAAACAGAGCAACAAGCAGAAACAGCGGCAAAAGGUAAUCCACAAACAGCAUAAUAGAAAACAAUACUGAAGCAAACAAGGGCUAACAGAACAUGGUACAUAUAGGGAACUAAUAAGACUAAAUGACACACAGAAGAGUGCCCUCUGAUGACUGGGAUUUUAACCAGAAAAAGGAGACAUAAAAAGCAAAGGAAGGGCCAACCACCAACCAUUAAGAAUGUUGUAACAGGUACAACCACUGCAAUAUUUACUAUUCUGGUACAUUUUAGGGGAUUUGACAGUAACCAUGAUUGAAUUUCGAAUUUUUUGAUCUUCAGGGUUUUCAAAAUAGCAGAGUGGGCCAUUGUGGCCUACGCUGAGAGACAACAAAGGAACAACACAACGGGGGAGUCUGUUUUCAUCUAUACCAACAGCAAUAACACAAGGAUCCAUUUGAGGGGCCCGUCAGUAAAGAUGGAAUAGUCUUAACUGUACAUAUUUAGUGAAAACUCCUCUGUUUACUGUCCUGGGAAAUGUUGAACUCAAGUUGAACAACAUUUGGUAACACCUAAAGAGAUUUAUUUGCAAUACAAUUUUGUUUGAAUGCCCUUCAAAUCUUUUAUAAAAUUUCUCAUAAAAUUAGGGGGUAAAAAAGGUCAUAUUUGUUUAUAAUUGUUUUCUGAAGAAAAAGAAUCAUGCAGCAUAAUGAUGCAUUGUAGUCUGUAGCAAGUGUUAACAAAUUGUUAGUAGAAGUGCAUUCAUUGUAUUCCCAAUCUCAGUAUCUUGAUUAUUUCUGCUCACUGUACGGGGAACAGCUCAGAUCAAAAAUAAUGUAAAGAUAUUAGCUAAGAAGAGAGAAAUAAAAGAUGAACGCUUUAAUGAUGCUCUUCAACAAUGAAUAACUGGCUUUUUUACUUUAAAGAUUAUUGCACUUUGAAUUUCUUGAACUUUUUCGAAAAGUAUCUUGCAAUGGUUUAAUAAGAUGCAGAGCAGAUGAAGCCAGGUAACAUCUUGUAAUCCCACAUAAGCUCUAUUCCACAUCAAGCGGAUAGAGGAUUUCACCUGGGCUGGCCAGUAAAGUCACGACUUUUACUAGGAAGCUUAUAUGACGGAACUCAUUAGGUUAAAACAAUGUUGAGUGUAUUUGUGUAUCACUGAUUCUUGAGAAGCAGGACAAAACAGAGUGCAAAAUUGAAAUAAAGAAAUAAAUAAAACUUGUUCUCAGACAAAUUAAACUGGAUAUAUGUAUCUUAUAUUUACUAUGCUAUUGAGCUAUGGUUUGAUGCAGGCUCCCAACUUUUCUCUUUUUUUUUUUUAAUCGAAAUUUUACCUUGGAUUGUGUGAUAUAAUUUUAACUUUAUUUUUAACAGCAAUCAAGAUGCUUUUGACAUUUCAAAACACAUUCUCAUGUUAGCAGACAGAUUAAACUUUCACAAGUGACCAGAGUUGAAACGUACACAAAGUUCACGUAGUAGCAGUUGUGUUUUUUUCCAUUGAUGCUAGAUGCUAAUAGAACCUGCUUCAGGAGAAUAAAAUGAUCUAAAUAUUUCAAAUAAUUUCCUCAGAAAUUGGAAGAUGGUGUUGCCAUAUCAUGGUUGUAACACAGGAAAUAUUAACAUCAGGAUUUAAAAUAUUCUAAAACUAUAAAACUUACCAGAGCCUGUCUGACACUGAUGUACUCUGCAGAGGUGGAAUGUGGCAAGGGGGUCCUUUGUGACCGCUGCCACUGAUAUACACUGAGAAACCCUUUUUUUACACUUUAAAGAAUUUCUGAAGGUGUUGACAAAAAGAUAUGAGAAUUGAUAUGAGAUAGUAUUAAGUGUUGCUUUUGAUAAAACUAGCUGCGUUUUUUUUUUCAUUAUUUUUUUAUUUUUUUUAUCCGUUAUAUAAGCAUAUAAAUGAUUAAACCCUUCUCUGUGGACACACUGUUUUAGAUGUAGUGAGAAGACAAUAAGUGUCAUAGAUUUGAUAUAAUAAUGAUAAAAUUAAAUUGAAGGGGAUAAUUGUGUUAAAUAGGCAUUCUAUUAUUAAUCCCCAUAACAUUUACAGUUGAAAAUAGCCUAUUUUCAUUUUUAAACUUAAAAACAGUUACAAUUGCUGGACAUGUUUUGUCCCAUGUCUUGAGAAUGAGUGGUAUAUUAGUACAUUUGUGUGAGUGUAGGCUGACUGUUGUGGAUUCUGCAUUGCUCAUGUGCAUGUGUAUAUGUUUGGG